UGCAAGUCGAACGCCCGAGCAAUCGGGAGUGGCAGACGGGUGAGUAACACGUGGGAACAUACCCUUCGGUUCGGAACAACGUUUGGAAACGAACGCUAAUACCGGAUACGGCUUGAGGGCGAAAGAUUCAUCGCCGAAGGAUUGGCCCGCGUUCGAUUAGCUAGAUGGCGGGGUAACGGCCCACCAUGGCGACGAUCGAUAGCUGGUCUGAGAGGAUGGCCAGCCACAUUGGGACUGAGACACGGCCCAAACUCCUACGGGAGGCAGCAGUGGGGAAUAUUGGACAAUGGGCGCAAGCCUGAUCCAGCCAUGCCGCGUGAGUGAUGACGGCCUUAGGGUUGUAAAGCUCUUUCGCACGCGACGAUAAUGACGGUAGCGUGAGAAGAAGCCCCGGCUAACUUCGUGCCAGCAGCCGCGGUAAUACGAAGGGGGCUAGCGUUGUUCGGAAUCACUGGGCGUAAAGGGUGCGUAGGCGGAUUCUUAAGUCAGGGGUGAAAUCCCGAGGCUCAACCUCGGAACUGCCUUUGAUACUGGGGAUCUUGAGUCCGGAAGAGGUGAGUGGAACUGCGAGUGUAGAGGUGAAAUUCGUAGAUAUUCGCAAGAACACCGGUGGCGAAGGCGGCUCACUGGUCCGGAACUGACGCUGAGGCACGACAGCGUGGGGAGCAAACAGGAUUAGAUACCCUGGUAGUCCACGCCGUAAACGAUGAAUGCCAGCCGUUGGGUGAUUUAUCACUGAGUGGCGCAGCUAACGCUUUGAGCAUUCCGCCUGGGGGAGUACGUC
rnacentral:rRNA from 1 species